rnacentral:rRNA from 1 species
UGGGGAAUAUUGGUCAAUGGGGGCAACCCUGAACCAGCCAAGUCGCGUGAAGGAUGAAGGUCUUAUGGAUUGUAAACUUCUUUUAUACAGGAAUAAAUUGGGGGACGUGUCCCCUUUUGCAUGUACUGUAUGAAUAAGGAUCGGCUAACUCCGUGCCAGCAGCCGCGGUAAUACGGAGGAUCCGAGCGUUAUCCGGAGUUAUUGGGUUUAAAGGGUGCGCAGGCGGGAUGUUAAGUCGGCGGUGAAAUUUUGCAGCUCAACUGUAAAAGUGCCUUCGAUACUGGCUUCCUUGAGUGUAGAUGAAGUAGGCGGAAUUUGUGGUGUAGCGGUGAAAUGCUUAGAUAUCACGAGGAACUCCGAUUGCGCAGGCAGCUUACUAAACUACAACUGACGCUCAUGCACGAAGGCGUGGGGAUCAAACA